rnacentral:lncRNA from 10 species
GUGCUCUCAUGGUGACUGGCCAAGGAGGAACCCCUCUGCACAGAGGUCUCUGUUUCUUACUUCUAUGAAGUAAAGAUAAAGCACUUAGCAGUAUGCUUGGCACAUAAUGUGCAUUUACUCCAUGUUUUUAAGUUUAAUACAUUAUAUAAGUGUGUAAAUAGGCCCUCAAUAAAGAUGAAAAACUACGUUCUUUGGAUCAAUGAGAGGAAAACUGAGAGAAGAAAGUGGAUUUGCCAAACUAAACUUCAACAAAGAUCCCCAGCAAUCUAAACUCUACCCUGCCUAAUGCAGCAAGUGAUGCUGUGGAAACCGUGAGAGGGCACAGUCUGGGGAUUUGAAGGCAUUCAGCAAAUGCUGUUCAACGAAGAAAUGAAUAAGAAGCUGUCAGAAUAUUUAAGACAUAUGGUGCAUAGGCCUCCCACCAAAGAAGUGACAGCAGGAAUGGAGAGAAAGAAGGACAUCAGAGGUAUUUAAAAGAAACAAUCGUCAGGACAUGGUGACUGGAUGAAGAAAUGACAAGACCCAGAAACAAUUACAAUGUCCAGCCAGAAAGGUCCGGUGGCACUUUGGUACAAUUGAAGACACUAGGAAAUGUAGAUGCGUAGGUAGAUUCCCCACGCCCUCUUUUUUUUUUUUUUUUUUUUUUUUUUUUUGGGAUGGAGUUUUGCUGUGUCACCCAGGCUGGAGUGCAGUGGCACAAUCUCGGCUCAUUGCAACCUCUGCCUCCUGGGUUCAGGCGAUUCUCCUGCCUCAGCCUCCUGAGUAGCUGGGAUUACAGGUGCGUGCCACCACGCCUAGCUAAUUUUUUAUUCUAGUAGAGACAGGAUUUCACUAUGUUAGCCAGGCUGGUCUUGAACUCCUGACCUUAAGUGAUCCACCUACCCGGCCUCCCAAAGUGCUGGGAUUAUAGGCAGAGCCACCACAUCUGGCUUUUCCCACCCCCUCUUAUUUCACCAGUUGAUAGUUCUUGGGGCCUGGGAGUGGAGUGGAAGAAAGUGAGGUGGAUGGGACAGUGAGAGCAAUGUAUGAUGUCCUAUUCUAAAAUAUAAAAUAAUAAUAAUGCAAAUAAUAAUGUAAAUAAGUCAACCACAUGCUCAAGAAUUAAAGAUAAGGCUUAAGAUACAGAUACAUAAUUAAAACUACACUAAGCUAUUGAUUCUCUGGCAAUACUUUUAAGGAUACCUCUAAUUCCAAAGGCCUAUUAUAUUUGACAAAAAGCCUAUACGAUAUGCAAGAAUUGUAUUUUCUCAAUAUCAACCAUCACAUUUAGAAAACCUUCAGAAAGCAUAUGUACAUAGUAUCUUAUGUGUAAGUGAAUGAGAAUUUUAUGAAUAAACUUUUUAAGGGAAUUAAGACAAUACAAUCGUCUGUAUCUGAAAUAAAGCAGAGACAAAGGCAAAGAUUAUAGCUAUGGAUGAGGUGAACUGAGUAUCAAUACAUUCUAAGAUAACAUAGAGUUAAUGAAAUUUAUUAAAUGAUCAAUACCAGUAUAAUAAAUAUCCUGGCAAUAGUAAAACUGAUAGCCCAUAAUAAAGAGGAAAAUAUAUUCGAAUAGUCUUCCAAGAAGACAAAAAUAUAAAUACAUGGAGUUGUUUUUUUUUUUUUGAGAGAUGGAGUCUUGCUCUGACACCCCAGCUGGAGUGCAGUGGUGUGAUCUUGGCUCUCUGCAAGCUCUGGCUCCUGGGUUCACGCUAUUCUCCUGCCUCAGCCUCCAGAGUACCUGGGACUACAGGUGCCCACCACCACGCCCGGCUAAUUUUUUUGUAUUUUUAGUAGAGACGGGGUUUCACCAUGUUAGCCAAGAUGGUCUCGGUCUCUUGACCUCGUGAUCCACCCGCCUCGGCCUCCCAAAGUGCUGGGAUUAUAGGCAUGAGACACCAUGCUCGGCUGGAGACAUUUUUUACCAGAAAUUAUUUUGUUCUAUCAAUUACUUUGAAGAUACACUAAGCAGUUAUGAAUUAGAUGAAAUUAGCAAAGGUUGCAACAAUGUUAGGCAUGAACUGGUGAUAAUGCUGAGCCCAUUUCAACCAGAAAUAGAUGAAUUUAGUUUUGCUUAAAGGAAAGAUGAUCAGCCCAGCCAGGCACUGACCUCAGUAAACCAUUUCUAAACAGAGGAAGCUCUAACUUCCUCAUUUUGCCCAAAAAUGCUGCAUUAUGGGAAGUCAAGCCUAGGUAUUUCCAGGGUUCUCACUCCAGCUGUCCAUUCAGCUGCAGCCUGAGCCACCUGUUGCUACCCACAAACCUCCUCAACCAAGGACAGUGGGGAUCUAGGACCGUGUCUUUUGCAUUGCUUCGUGUCUAAGGAAGGUUGAGACUGCUUAAGAAUAGGAAUUUCACUCUUGCAAUGUAGCUAAGUGUCAAGGUCUGGGAAAGAAUGCUGCUACCAAGGGUGGCUCCGCAGGCUUUUAUUUUGUCCCACAGCUUGGUUCCAGACACCAACUCUUUAUCCUUCAGUCACCCUAGGGUGACUAAUGUCUAUCAGAUGCCUCAAUGUAUCUUUAUAUUGAACCUAAAUCUUCUUGGGUUAACUUAUGGAGAAUGGACAGAAAUGACUUGGGGAAGAAUGAGUAUAACAAGUGAGCAUGUAUAGAACCCAAAAGAUCUGAAUAUGAAGGACUUUUGGGAAAUAAAUCACUCUUUUUCAGUUUAUUGCUGUAAACAGUGUCAAGCUUGCUUUCCAACUACUGCGUCACAUAAAUGCCAACUCAUUUUCAUGUACUUUCUGAAAGAGAUAACAGAAACAGCAAAACAACAAAUAUGAUUAUAAAAAU